UCUCUUGUGCUCGGGCAUGUACAGUCGGCUGUGAGGUUUUUACCGAGCCACUGUCUUUUGCUGAUUGCAAAUUACCAAUCCUAAUCGUCUGUCGUCUUCGGACUUCAGCAAUUUUUGGAACUUCCAACUUUUUUGGUGUCUUUUUCCAGUAGCUGUGUUGUGUAUUGUAUUGUGGGAA
rnacentral:snRNA from 1 species